UUUACUCAAUCUCGCUGUUUUACACUUAAAUCUGCUUUGUUGAUCAGCUAUGCUUUCCUUUUUCCAAGAAAAGUACGCAUUAAUGUGACCAACUUUCCAGCCGGACAAGUUUAACACGGACGGAUUAGCAAGAUUUUGAGGACUCGAUUGGCUCGAUCCGCGUCAAUUUCUUGUUCACCCAGGACGAGAAAGUGGAUCAUCCCACGACGAGUGGACCAUUUCCACUCCAGACGUUCGUCCCCAUCAACAACCGCUACUUCAAUAUGGAAUUUACUUCACGGGUAAUUGACAUUCGAAAAGAAGAUCUCUUCCGUCUGGUCUCGAUUUUUGCCCUCUCAUCAAACUCAAACCGGGAAGAAACUUCCAAACUAAAAGUGAACUUUGUCUGGUUGAAUGAAAGUAUAACAAUAAUGAGAGUAUGUACAACUCUCUUAAUAAAUAUUUCUUAAAAUGA